AACGUAGGAGACAAACGUUAUCCGGAGUUACUGGGCGUAAAGGGCGUGCAGGUGGUCAUUUAAGUUCGGCGUGAAAGCGCCUGGCUUAACCGGGCGAGGUCGGCGGAAACUGUCCGACUCGAGGACGGGUAGAGGGGGGUGGAAUUCCCGGUGUAGUGGUGAAAUGCGUAGAGAUCGGGAGGAACACCUGUGGCGAAGGCGGCCCCCUGGCCGGCCCUGACACUGAGACGCGAAGGCGUGGGGAGCGAACGGG
rnacentral:rRNA from 1 species